rnacentral:lncRNA from 1 species
AUGAUGUGUCACCCAAGAGGUCAAGAUCAUUUAGUUUCAAAUGUUCAUUCAAAUUUAAAUUAGGGAGGGAAUACUUGUAGUAUAAACGCAAUUCAUACAAAAAGGCCUUUUACAUUCAAGUCACCUUAUAAGGAAUACAAAAUCACAAAAUUCCAUACAAGUUAUCACAUGUUGACCUAACAUUUGACUUUGGUCAAUUGUUGAGUUUUUGGUCAAACAGUUGACCAAAGUCAACUACUAUUUCUAAUCCUUACCCAUAAUUCCUCAUUUACAAGCCAACUCAUUUCACUCCUAUAACUUCAAGAUUCUUCAUGCUUUGGUGCCAUGCUCCCAUGCCAUACCAAUUUUGUGUGCCAUUCUUUAAUGAUACCUUUUCAAGCCAUGAUCACUCCACCAAAUUAGUAAUGGCCCUGCAUCAAACAAACCAACAAUUCAAGUUCAUAAAGCUAGCAUAAUAUUCAAGCAUAGUUAUCACAUCAAACACCAACCAUGACACAUAUGCAUACAUAAUGCAAACUAUGCCAAAAACCAAGAAACGAAUCAUUCACAAAACCAAACUUAGCAUAUCUCAAUUCAGUUCACAAAUCAUGCUAACUUAUUUAUAGCAAUCAUCAUGUGACAUUCCAUUACCAUAAUAACUUGCAUAAUCUCUAAACUACUAUAUGACACUUUACAUUAACAAUCCCAAUUCAAUACUAACAUCAGCUAACUUUAAAUGUCAGCAGAGAACAAACUAACAGUUGAUGUUUCAUUUCAAAACUAAUAACACUAACAACCAUGUUACACUAACACUUUAACAUAAUUAACCCUAACACAAUUCUAACAAUUUGAAACUGUCAAUUCCACUACACAAUUAAUCAUAAUAACUUGUUCAUAGAACCUAGUCUCAAAUUCUAGCAUCCAGACAAUGUGUCUAAUAUUUAGUGUUCGUUAGCCAUAACUAGUUAACCUCAAGUUCAAACCCUUAGCUAACUAAUAUCAAAAUCAACUAAUGCUUCUACUAUUUUAAUUUCCUAACAUUUCCAUUAUUGAGCACAUUAUAAUGAAUCUUAUCCAAACUAUCAUCUCUAACACUUCUCUUUCAAAACUCUACAAUUCACUAACUUAUUAACAAAGUAACAAUUAACCAAUUGUAAAGUUUCGAAACACGUUCAACCAACACUAAUGCCAAUACAUGCUAACAAACAUUUGAACCGAACUCGAAACCAAAUAACUCUAAGAGGUGUUAACUCUUUUUACAAUAGAACUAACUUUAGCUAUUGUAUUAAUUCAAAUGUCUCCCUUAACUAAUCUUAAAACUGACUCAUUCCAUCCAAACUUAACGGUGAACACAUCAUAAACUCAACACCUUCUAAUAACUAACUUUAGUUCAUCUAACUAAUCAAUUUCAAUUAACAACUAACUUAACAGAAGCUAACAAUUUUUACAGAAUUGCUAAAAGUUAACAAAGUGACACUAUGAAUGUUAAGUGACCUAAAUCCUGCCCUAACAGAGCUACCUGAGCUACCCUAAUCAGUUACAUAUUCAAACUCAGAUUCAUGGACAUUCAAUCAUUUUUCACACAUUAUUCAAUUAUCUCCAAUCAUUGGCUCAUAAAUCUUUCUCAACCAUCACCUCAUCAUAGAAUUCGCAGAAAUCAAAACCUCACUCAGUAUAAUUCAAUUUCUUUGAGAAUGCAGCUAUAGAAGGAGAAGAAGAAGAAGGUAGUUAAAGGAAAAUGGAAUUCAAAACCAUUGACUCUGGAGUCUCUAGAAUUCUUGCUCCAUCAUCACCUUCACCAUUUGCAACGAGCACCAGGACGCAUCUCAGUCUCGUAGGUUGGUUAAACUUUAUCUCCUCGCUUAAAUCUCCUUACCAAAAUGUAGAGGUCGUCCUUGGGAGACAAACCCCUAAGGUUUAGGCUCAAAUUAUUUUUCCUUCAUUGUUUAAUUGCAAUUUGUAGUUUUAGGGUUUUUCUUCCUUUUGCUUCGAUUUAGAUUAUGGAGGACGAUUAGGUAAAAAUGGAUGAUGUAUUAUGAAAGAAGAACAAGAGACAAACACUUUGAUGUAUGAAUGGACGUGAAUGGACCUCCUCCGGAGGCUAUUUCUGGUGCGGCAGAGUAUGUUAGGUCAGGAGAAGCAAGUUACACGUUUGAAUGAGGAACAUAGAUGACUUGAGAAUGAGCUUGCACUCUUCAGUAUUUUGGUUUCGAGUUUGGGCAUGUUGUCCUUGGCCCAAGUGACCUUUGCAUGCUACACCACAUCAUAGUACAAUACACCCCACUAUGAUUGCAAGCAAAAAAAUGUCACCUUGGGCUUUCUGUGUUAAGCCCAGUAGUGC